UUCACUGUGUUCUUGCUGCAACUCCCACAGUGACUGAGGGCAGGCCUGACAUAUGCCCCCAGUUUUGGUUCUCCUACUCAGCUCCUCCCUUGAUUGCAUUUACUCUGGUCUCCAAAUUGCCCCUCAUUGCAUGUCCCUGAGCCUGUGUACCCCGUUCUCUCCACCAGCAGUGUUCCCUCCUUGCCUGCCUCUUAGCCUCCUGCCCCGCCUUCCAGGCUCAGCGCAGUCAUGCUCUUCUCAGCAAAGCAUCCCUGACCUCCCCAGCUGGAGUCCUCCCUUCCCUCCUCUGUGCCCCGUGGCUUGUCUGCUGCCUCUGAUCUGGGACUGGUUGCUCUAAACUGCAUGUAUGGGCAGAAAGCUUCGUCUCUCCCAUUCAUGGCUCCUGUUUUCCUCUGGGUCCCCAGCGUCUGGCCUCCGCACCUGGCACAGGAAGCCAUUUAAAGACCUGCUCAUGGACCAGAUUGAAUCAUUUUUUUAAUUAUGGGAAGAAGGCUUUGGAGGCCUUCUCUCAAAUUUACUCCCAAACUUUCUUUUGGAAAAUUCAGUGCUUGUCCUGAAGAUUCAGUUUCUUCAGUUGCAGUGAGGGCAUUGAUCUGCUCACCCAUUUCCCACCUCUGAGCUGUCCUCAUGGGUGUAGAGACGCCCAGCCUCCCCCCUUCCCUCACCGACCAUGUGGAGAAGCCUGGACAGCAAGUGUGAGCACGAUUUUACCAGUCUUUCCUUGCUUUUCAUGACCUUGGUACUUCUGAAGAGUAUUGGUCAGAUUUUACCAGCUACAUCCAGAUCUUGGGUCUCAGGCCACAGAACCUCACAGUGAUCAGGGUGAAAUUGACUGGACUCUAACUUCGGUAUAUUGCUAUUUUCCAUCUUAUACACUGGGUGUGACAAAAUAGCAGAGACGUCUAUCUUUCUCAAGAA